UGUUUCAAAAGUUGACGUCUGUCCGUCUCUCUCGCCCUUUCAGGCCAGAAAAAGGCCAUUUUCCAGCGCAAAUGUACUUUGUAGCAGUUGUGUAAAUUGCUCCUCUAUUGCUGCUUUAUUGACAGCACACAGCCCCGAUUUAAUCCAAUCGCAAAAUGGGCUCGAUUAUGACGACAAAAAGUCCACGUACUGAAUAAAUUUAAUGACGAGUUGAUAAUUAAAAGUGGCCUCAAAAGUUCAUUCACAAGACAGGUUUUUAAUGUUUUCUCUGCUAAAGUCGUCUCAGCAUCCAGCUGAACUGCUUCCAGCCACUGGAUCUUGCUCUGAAGCCAGGUUGACUGACCAAUUACCGCUCUCAGCAGCCGGAAAUGCACCGAUUACAACAAAUAACGUUUAUUUCGACACCCACGUUACUUUUUCAUUCAUCUUCAAUGAUAUUUGCGCCAAAAAUGAACGCUUUGCAAAUUGUGGCUGUGUUUUUAUGGUUUCUGAGACGAAAGCGCUCCAGGCAACUUGCCCGAAUCCGUAAAAGCACAGAUUACCGCCAAAUGAUCAAAAAGUAAGGAACUCCGUUGUAUUGAUUACGCAAUUUAUCACCCAAUCAAUAACCAGAUUAUCAACAAUGUGCCAAAAAUUGCAGACAAA